CCUACGGGAGGCAGCAGUAGGGAAUCUUCCACAAUGGGCGAAAGCCUGAUGGAGCAACGCCGCGUGAGUGAUGAAGGCCUUCGGGUUGUAAAACUCUGUCAUUCGGGACGAACCGGAGUCUGAGGAAAUGCAGACUCUCUGACGGUACCGGAGGAGGAAGCCCCGGCUAACUACGUGCCAGCAGCCGCGGUAAUACGUAGGGGGCAAGCGUUGUCCGGAUUCACUGGGCGUAAAGCGCGCGCAGGCGGUGAUGUAAGUCUGAGGUGAAAACCCGAAGCUCAACUUCGGGACUGCCUUGGAUACUGCGUCACUUGAGGAUAGGAGAGGCAAGGGGAAUUCCACGUGUAGCGGUGAAAUGCGUAGAGAUGUGGAGGAACACCUGUGGCGAAGGCGCCUUGCUGGCCUAUUUCUGACGCUGAGGCGCGAAAGCGUGGGGAGCAAACAGGAUUAGAUACCCUGGUAGUCCACGCUGUAAACGAUGAGUGCUAGGUGUAGGUGGGCUCAUACCCAUCUGUGCCGAAGCUAACGCAUUAAGCNCNCCGCCGCGGGAGGUACGGUCGCGAGACGUAGAACGUACAAGUAGAAGUUAGACGGCGUUGAGGACGNGCCGACGGACGACGACGAGGGGAGGUAGGG
rnacentral:rRNA from 1 species